GCCGCAGGUAUUCUGACUGUGCUAAGGUAGCAUAAUAAUUAGGUAUUUAAUUAAUAUCUGGGAUAAAAGGUCUGACGAAAAACUAAUUUUCUUUUAAUAAAUUUAAAUUUAUAUAUAAAUAAAAAAGUUUAUUAACUCAAGAUAGACGAUAAGACCCUAAAACCUUAAAUAUAACCUUUAUUUUCACUGGGGAGGUGGACUAUAUUAGCAUAGUUAAUUUCAACAUAAUAAAUGAUUAUUUUUAACUUUAACAAUAAACAAAAAGGUACUUUAGGGAUAACAGCAUAAUUUUUAUUAAGAGUACUUAUCGACAUAAUAGAUUAUGACCUCGAUGUUGAAUUGAUC
rnacentral:rRNA from 1 species